AUUUUUGUAUAUUCAAAUAUACCCAUCAAAGUCAGCAGGUGGAAUCCAAUAGACCAAGCUGCACAAACUUUCUGCAGAUUGAAGAUUUCCAAGAUUGAAAGACGGGUAAAAAGCAAAUGUUGGUUUUUAUUUAAACAGGAAUUAAUAUUUCCUGUAGCUUACUAUAGUGAAGAUCAGACCAAAAGAAGGAACAAAUCAAAUAAAGCAGGCAGAUUCAAUGAGAAUGUUGCAGCAGUUGAAGCAUUCAAUAGAAAAAAGGAAAAUAAAAAGAAUAAUUUAUUGGGAAUUCCUGAAUCAUUCUUGACAAGGUGUUGUGAGGAAGGGCAACAAAAUAAGUGAUAUCUAAAUCACAGCAAUGAAGUAGAGAAAUGUUUAAUGUCCAUUUAGCAAUAAAGAGGUUUUUAUAAUUAUUUUGGCA
rnacentral:lncRNA from 1 species